GAUCCUGGCUUAGGAUGAACGCUAGCGACAGGCUUAACACAUGCAAGUCGAGGGGCAGCGCGGAGGUAGCAAUACUUCUGGCGGCGACCGGCGCACUGGUGAGUAACACGUAUGCGACCUGCCCCGGACAGGGGGAUAAACCCGGGAAACUGGGCCUAAUACCCCAUAUGUAUCGAGGAUGCAUGUCCUUGAUAUGAAAGAUCCGUCGGUCCGGGAUGGGCAUGCGGCGCAUUAGCUAGUUGGCGGGGCAACGGCCCACCAAGGCGACGAUGCGUAGGGGUUCUGAGAGGAAGGUCCCCCACACUGGUACUGAGACACGGACCAGACUCCUACGGGAGGCAGCAGUGAGGAAUUUUGCGCAAUGGGGGAAACCCUGACGCAGCCAACGCCGCGUGAGUGAUGACGGCCUUCGGGUUGUAAAGCUCUGUCGUGUGUGACGAGUAGGGACGGUAACACACAAGGAAGCCUCGGCUAACUACGUGCCAGCAGCCGC
rnacentral:rRNA from 1 species